CCACAACAUUAUGACAUUUGACUUUUAAGGGUGCUAUGCCAAUUAAGUUGUCAGAUAAACUGGUUGUAAAACUUAUUUCACUUUGACUAAAUCAGUUUUCCCCACACAGCAUACUAAAAGCAAGACACCGCAGGGGAUUGAACCCUGUCCCGACAAAGUCAGGAGUGCCACCACCGGAGUCUUUUGCUUUUUUGUUGCUGUUAAAGGGCAAAAGCAAAACAUGGAGAAAACCCCCGAACACCUGCUGCUAUAUAAUCCUGUCACCACAUGGGGAUUUCUCUUGGACACACGAGGCUGAAACUAGAAGAAACAAACAACUGAAUUGUAUGACUGAUUCCACGAUGUCCUUUUAUCCAUAUUUACAAAGCCACGAUACCAGCAUCCCUGGUGAUACUCAAAGCAGUGAAGGCUUUCUUGCAAAGUUUACAGCUGUAAUGGAAAAAAGACAGACAAUUUAAGC
rnacentral:lncRNA from 1 species